GUCGUUCUUUUACAAAGAGGGGUGGAGGUUGUUGUUGCCUUUUUUUUUUUUUUUCCUUUAUGAAUGGAGGGCGGCGGCGACUGCUGCAGCUGGCUCAGCUGCGCGGGCUGUACCCCCUCCCAGCCUGCGAGAGGAGGAAGCUAGAGGAGGACCUGCACCAACAAAACCAAGGCGUAAAUCAAGAGAGUAGACACCAUGGAAAUAACUGCAUGGCGCUCAGAAAUCUCACCUCCUCCUGGAAGCCUUGGGCCAGACAGUGGAAGAAUAAUGGUGAUUUUCUUGGCAUACAACCCCUCCCCA